rnacentral:tRNA from 1 species
GGGCGGAUAGCUCAGUUGGGAGAGCGCAGCCCUUACAAGGCUGAGGUCACAGGUUCGAUCCCUGUUCCGCCUA